CUAAUUCAUUCAAGUAUUAGAUGAAUUAAUGAGUUUAUUUAGGAUUCGUUUGAGAUUAUGGGGAGAUUGCGUUACGAGUGGUGAGAAAAUACGAUAAAAAAAUAUUCUGCUUAUUUUCGUAUGUAAUAUUGUAUUCCACAUAUCACGAUAAGUCGGUUAUGAUAUAUUUUGUGCGAUCCUAUACCGGACAUAUUUUUAUAUACUACUUUAAACCCAACUCCAUUUUAUCUAAUAGAGUCAGAUGAGCCUCAAUGCCAAAUUAAGCCUUAAUCUCACUCUUAAUGAUUAUUCCAUAAUAACCCCUUAAUUAGGGGGUGGAAUUAUUUUUUUUUGAGAGAUAGGUAGCAUGCUACCCGCUUCGUUUAUUUCUUUAGAAAUAAACUUAGCUAGAAAUGUGAAUCAACUAGGAUUGAAUUAUUAUUCCACCCUUUUGGUGGAAUAACAAUUCUUCACCUUUAUACCUUUACAACUUUAAAAAUAAAAUAUUACUAGCUAAUAUACUAUAUAUUUUUUUAUUAAGUUAUUAGCUAGAUUAAUAAUUAUCCAACUUGAUUUAUUACUAUAAUAAAUAUUUAAUUAACUAUUUAGUAAUUAAUUUAUUAUUCAUAACUAAUUAUAUAUCUAAUUACAAAAUUAAUCGAUUAAUAUUUUGACCAAUAUAACUGAUUAAAUAAUUAACUAUUAAUUUAUUAUAAUUUAUCAAAUUAUUUUAUAGUUAUUUAAUAUAUUAAUUAACAAUACUCAUGGUUAAUUUAUUAAUAAUUAAUUAAUGUCCUAAUUAAUUUGUUUAUCAAUAAUUAUGAUUAUCUAAUAGUAUUCAUGAUUAAUUAAUUAAUUAAUUUGUUAAAUUACUAUUUAAUUAAUAUUUUGAUGUUAAUUAUUUAUAUAAAAUAUUAUUAUUUUAAAACUAUAAUUACUCUUAUUCCUAUAGUUCCUGUCUAACUAUUCAAAUACUUUUUUUUAAAUUCUCAAAAAUAAUUUAAUUUUUAUCCAAAUAUAAAAUUAAUCUAUUUCUGUUUAUCUCCAAAGUUAUCUCCAAAAUUGUACCGGUCUCAGAAAUAAUUAAUAAUUAAAAAAAUUUAUUUUC
rnacentral:lncRNA from 1 species